CCUCCUGAUAGGUCGGGUUCGGCGGUGGGUGGCCGCCCGCUCUCUCACUCCUAAUCCUAAUAAGAAACUGUGCUGCAGCGUCUCCGGCUGUUUCCGGAGCCAUGCGACACGCCCCUUCUGCUUGCCUUUCAGCAGCAACAUCAAUAUUCCCAGCUGCCGAGGAAAUGAACAGGGAGCCAUAGUAACGGCUGGAAAGCGGUGUUGGUAGCGACAUCUAGAGGAUGUGCAGGAGCAUGGGUGGGCCGUGCCGGCUCAGACCCACUGCACAGAACAGACGCUCCUCACCUCCCCUCCCCUGCACGAUCGCAUGAAGAAGAUUGUGCGAAAUGCCCCUAAGGGUCCACAGUUUGGGAACCACUGCUGUAGUUUGUCUAUUGAUGAGGAGGAACCAUACUGUCGUGCAAAACAAUAAAACCAUGAGUAUACAGAUAAACCUGCCAGUGAAAAAGCUAAAGUCUCCAUGUUCGCAUGACAGUCACACAAAAGAAUUUUCAGCAUGCCAUUUCUUAAAUACACUCAUUUUUGCAACCGUCCAGUUACACUAGAUAUUCAGGAACACAGCUAUCAAAGAAUUCAGAAAACUUACAGUAAAAGCUCAUGAGGUUACAAAACAUUGCAUUCAAGAAGAGGUUAGAUUGUAAUAGAGAAGAGUGACUAUAUUCUAUGGCUUUGACUAAAGGCAGAGACUGACAAACCCCCUAGGUUAGGGUUUCCAUGUUCAAGGAAAAGACAUCGCUAAUAGUUUUCCCAACAGAAUUUCUUUCUAACAAACUGUAAACCCUAGAGCCAUGCUAUGUAUGGGAGUUGUCAGGGAUUACUAUGAAAAGGAGGGAGUCCUUAAGGCAAUAGCUGUCAACAACCCACAGGAACUCAGAAGUAAAAGUCUGAAGAACAGGAACAGGAUUGUGAUGAAGCGGGCAAAUGCACAAGGACAGCGUGGGAUAUGGCACAAGGAUAGGCUAAAGCGGGACGGAGUGGGAGAAGGCACAAGGAUAGGCUAAAGUGGGAAGGAGUGGGAGAAGGCACAAAGACAAGCUAAAGUGGGACAGAGUGGGAGAAGGCCCAAAGGAUAGGCUAAAGUGGGAAGGAGUGGGAAAAGGCACAAGGAUAGGCUAAAGUGGGAAGGAGUGGGGAAGGCACAAGGACAGGCUGAAGUGGGACAGGGUGGGAGAAGGCACAAGGAUAGACUAAAGUGGGAAGGAGUGGGAGAAGGCACAAGGAUAGGCUAAAGUGGGACGGAGUGGGAGAAGGCACAAGGAUAGGCUAAAGGAUAGGCUAAAGUGGGAAGGAGUGGGAGAAGGCACAAGGAUAGGCUAAAUUGGGAAGGAGUGGGAGAAUAACCAAGAAAACACUGGCACUCAAAGGCAAGUAACAGCAGGGUUAUACCCUUGCGUAUUUAUUCUGCAAACGUGCA